AGAGUUUGAUCCUGGCUCAGAUUGAACGCUGGCGGCAUGCCUAACACAUGCAAGUCGAACGGUAGCAGGCCUUCGGGUGCUGACGAGUGGCGGACGGGUGAGUAAUGCGUAGGAAUCUGUCUUUUAGUGGGGACGAACCACGGAACGUUAGGUCGUAAUACCGCCAUGAGCCCUCGAGAGGGAAAGGACGGGGAGUCUUCGGUACCGUCGCGCUAAGAGAAGAGCCUACGUCUGAUUAGCUAGUUGGUAGGGUAAAGGCC
rnacentral:rRNA from 1 species